ensembl:lncRNA
CUGGCACGGUGGCACGAGUGCUACACUGUUGCGUCUGGCUUCUUUUUGAAGAAACAUCAUUCCCAGAUAUUUCAAAAAAAGAAUUUGCUGCAAUUUGUCCCAAAGGAUAAUCUUUCAAAAUGUGUGGAUCGUGCGAUAGCAGCAUAACUGAUCAAAAAGAAGGGCGGCGGUGGUAUGGUGAGCAGCACACAGCGAACUUCAACUCCAUACGCAGCUCCAUUCUCUUGCAUACAGUCCUCAUCAAGUGAGGGUCUCGCGCUAGGCUAUGUCAUCUUGCUGACGGAGGGAUGCGGACAAGACAUCACGGAUCCUACGGCGUUGCGCGUUUAUGGUGAAGAAACAUGUUUGUGGCAUACAUUGGAGAACAUCAGGGUUGUAACUGAGGUGAAACUGCACUCCUGUGUCUUUCACUAGAGAUCAGAAGCAGUUACAUGGAGAUGUCUCUGGCAUGGCGCCCCGCUGAUCGGUGGCUCGGAGGUGUGUUUGACAUGGAGAAGGGCCCACCAGCAGCGCAGACUAACCCUGCGGAGGCCAGCUCUUCAGCUGUCCCUGCCUGCCAGGGCCUCUGCCUCCAGUCAACAACAAGCCAGCUCAUCCAGCAGCAACCUGAUCUCCAGCUGCCAUGAUCUACGUCUAUGAAGAUGUGUCAUGUCUGCGUCUGUGAAGAUGUGUCGUGGUCUACAUCUAUGAAGAUGUGUCAUGGUCUACGUUUUUGGAGAUGAUUCGUGGUCUACAUCUAUGAAGAUGUGUCGUGGUCUACGUCUGUGGAGAUGUGUCGUGGUCUACGUCUAUUAAGAUGUGUCGUGGUCUACUUCUGUGAAGAUGUGUCGUGGUCUACUUCUGUGAAGAUGUGUCGUGGUCUACGUCUAUGAAGAUGUGGCGUGGUCUACGUCUAUGAAGAUGUGUCGUGGUCUACUUAUAUGAAGAUGUGUCGUGGUCUACGUCUAUGAAGAUGUCAUGUUCUACUUCUGUGAUGAUGUUUCAUGGUAUACGUCUAUGGAGAUGUGUUGUGGUCUAAGUCUAUGGAGAUGUCAUGGUCUACUUCUAUGAAGAUGUGUCGUGGUCUGCGUCUAUGAAGAUGUGUCGUGGCCCUACGUUUAUGGAGAUGUCGUGAUCUACUUCUAUGAAGAUGUGUCGUGGUCUGCGUCUAUGGAGAUGUGUUGUGGCCCUAUGUUUAUGGAGAUGUGUUGUGGCCUACAUCUAUGAAGAUAUGUUGUGGUUUAUGUAAAUGAAGAUGUGUGUUUCAUUUUUAUCAUUUCAUUUAUUGUUUUCCCCAUUAUCGGGCAGAUAUUUGCGUCCAGCUUCUAGCAGGACAAUGUUGUGAGAACGGUUAUUGGUUUUCAUAACCCCACCAGUGCUCUAGACUGAGACCCUUUUGUAUUAAUUAGUCACUUUAAUUUGUUUUAAUUGGGUUGCAUUGUUUUAAUUAGGUUUUUGUAUUUUUAUUAGGUUGCAUUGGUAUGAGCUGCACAUUCUGCACAGCACCUCAAUUCCCAAUCAACACAUCAUGUUUUUUGGAGGCUAACAUCUGGAUUCAGGUCAAACAUUACAGCGUAUUAUCCUCAUGAUUCAUGUAUUAAAAGUAUCUGUCCCGGUACUUGUUUCGCUGCAUACAGCCUGUAGCAUUGUAACGAGCGAGCCACUCUCUCAUUUUUCUUUCCUGGUGAAAACAAAUGCCCCAGGAGAAUACGUGCUUUGUGAUUGUAUAAAACAUUCAAACCCAAUUGCGAAGAGAACACAGCCAUCCCUUUGUCACAGUUGAGGAAAUUAGGUUCUCAGUUUCAUGUGGAAAUGCUUUUUAUUUCAUAACUCUACAUUAUAUUUUUACAACAGAUGUAUAUUUCUUUUACAACAGAUUUUGGAAAGACCACCAGCAACAAUUUAUAAACAUCACAUUUCAACAUUACAUUUACUGUUGAAUACAUAUAUCAGUGGGUAUUAUAAUAGAACUGGUGAGCAAGCUAAUGUGUUUUUGGUUUCCAUUUAGCAACUUGGGGAAUUAAAUCCAAAUAAUUAGCCUGGGAUAUCAGUCCACAUAAAGAUUCAAGUAAAUUUAUGUUUGUUGAACAAAAGCCACAAUUCUCAGGCCAUAUAAUAAUUUCGAACAGGAACAGCCUAAACAUCAACUGAUAAUUGAUGACAAUCCCUGGAUCAGGUUGGACAUAUUUUCAAACACCACACUGGUAUUUCUACAAUACCAUCACAGUAGUCUGCCACUUACACCGGAAGGUAACAUCUGCAGUUGCUUCAUCCAUUUCAGGACUUAAAGGGAUAGUUCAAACUUGAUUCAUAGUUGGGUGAAAUUAUGCUUAACCUGACAGUAAUCUGUCGCACUAGAAUCACUUUCUGGAAUGCAUACUGACAAAACAGCUGGCAGAAUUUAGCGACUUCAAACUGGCACUGCGGAACCGCCACACCACCACUCUGUUGUUUGGCAACGAAGUCCUCGGUAUCUAAUGAAUGCUAAGUGGCUGUAUAUGGAGAUACAUUAAAACGUCUUCUUCCUGAAGAAAACCCACAGUUCUAUGGCAUUUGUGAACAAAACUGACCGGUAAGCACAGGAAGUCUAGUGGAUCCGUUUAGUUGCAGUGUCAUGAGUGGAGGAGCCGGUCGCAGGGGUUUGAGGAAGAAAUUCGUUUUAUUACUGAAGUUCAAACGCCGUAUUGUAAACAAACUGAGCAUGGUGUUAUUGUUUAUUUUACUACCAGAAAACCGUAACCGGGAAAACCAAAUGGCGAUGAUAGUUUACUUCUCCCUCCCCAUGUGAGCCGCUCCGCUUAAGUCCUUGGUACCAAAUGUAUAGUGGAAACAAGUCUGGAGCCAACAGUAGCAUAAAUCAGCCCUGGUACUGGGGCAAAGCACCAGUGGAAACGCGGCACAACACCACUAGCCUUAGUUUGUAGUGUUUUGGAGAGAGUUUCCACUUGCAAUACAGCUUUUGUGGUUCAGGACGCACAGUUUCAAUUUGUGAAUUUGGACAAUGCCAAUAAUGCAAAUUUCACCCAAAUAGGAAUCUAGGUCAAACUAUACCUUUAAUAAAAAUGUUUUUAUACACAGUGAUUGUUUAAAAAUAGCCGAAUAAGCUUUGUUCAACAGCAAAACCCUAUAAGAACCCAAAAUAUAUGCUUGUCUCACGGUUUUUAAACAACAUACAUUUUUAUGUCAUUUACAACAGGCUCAUAUCCAGAGCGACUUACAGUUAGGGCACUCAUCUUUAGAAAGUCACUGUAGGUGGGCCAGUCACAAGCAAAUAGAAAUAAACACUAUUUAGACUCAAAACCUGGUUAAAACUCGUGAAGAUUAUUAUACAUUUUUCUUUUUACGUGACACUGCCAAAAAAACAUUGGUGGCUCAAUCAUAAGCCAACAGCAGAAAAUCUCUGGCACACUGACAAAUCUGGAGCUCUGACUACAGUCAAGUGAUUGAAACACUACAGUUAAAAGAUAAGCUUUUGUCUUGGUUGUGUGUAUGGUUUUAGUGUAGGUUGCUAGUGGUUUUUUUUGUAUGUUUAGUGUGGGUGUAUGUGUUUUUAGUGUGGGUUUUCAACUGUGAGGGUGUGUGUGUAAACUACGUUUUUAGUGUAUAUGUGUGUCUGAAUAUAGUAGGGUGGACAGAGGAUGGAGGGAGGCGUGGGUGUAGAUGGAUAGCACCACUGAGUGGACCACUAAAAGCUGGUUACCUAGACUUUACCCACCCACUCAGAGAGACUGCUCUUGUCUACUGCUCCCACAUGCUAAAACACUUAUUGGAUACAACACACACACACACACACACACAGAUUGCAAAAGUUCCAAUCUUAUUAAAACUACAUUCCAAGGCAGACUGACGAGCAGUCAGAGAGACGUGAACACAUCCUUGUGUGUUGUUGCCAUAUGCGAUGGUGAUGAGCAGCGCAUGACCAGAACCGGAGCGUAACGUCUUAUCAGACAAAGUCGCUACUCAGGGCAGGAGGCUGAUGUGUCUCAGACAGCAGUCAUGAGGUCUCCGUCGCAUUUGACACGCAGGGUCCCGUGGGUAAGACAUAAAAACAGAGAGCUACACGCCCCCUCACACACACACACACACGCACGCACACACACACCAAUGACAUUCACUUAAAGGAUGAGUUGAGUAGGUCCAGACAAUUUGUUUCACACACUGUUGAUGUGACUCCGUCAAUUCACUUAAUUUUGACCUCAUCUGUAGGUGUUGACCGAAACAUUGAGUAUUUCAAUGUUUUAUAUGCCUGUGUAAUUCUGACAGUUAUUUGUUUACUACCUGUUUCCUACUAAGGCCAAG